rnacentral:rRNA from 1 species
AGGAAAGCAGGGGAUCGCAAGACCUUGCGCUUUUGGAGCGGCCGAUGUCUGAUUAGCUAGUUGGUGAGGUAAAGGCUUACCAAGGCUUCGAUCAGUAGCUGGUCUGAGAGGACGACCAGCCACACUGGGACUGAGGCACGGCCCAGACUCCUACGGGAGGCAGCAGUGGGGAAUUUUGGACAAUGGGGGAAACCCUGAUCCAGCCAUGCCGCGUGAGUGAAGAAGGCCUUCGGGUUGUAAAGCUCUUUCAGCCGGAACGAAAAGGUUACGGUUAAUACCCGUGACUAAUGACGGUACCGGAAGAAGAAGCACCGGCUAACUACGUGCCAGCAGCCGCGGUAAUACGUAGGGUGCGAGCGUUAAUCGGAAUUACUGGGCGUAAAGCGUGCGCAGGCGGUUUUGUAAGUCAGAUGUGAAAUCCCCGGGCUCAACCUGGGAACUGCGUUUGAAACUACAAGGCU